rnacentral:snRNA from 1 species
CAACUCUGGUUUCUCUUCAAUCACGCACAAGUUUUUCGCCUUUUACUAAAGACUUCCGUGGAGAGCAACGCUCCGAGUUCAACGUAUUUUGGACGGGCUUUGCUCCGGCAGAGCC